rnacentral:misc_RNA from 1 species
GAAAUGCGAUAAGUAAUGUGAAUUGCAGAAUUCAGUGAAUCAUCGAAUCUUUGAACGCACAUUGCGCCCGCUAGUAUUCUGGCGGGCAUGCCUGUUCGAGCGUCAUUUCAACCAUCAAGCCCUAGGCUUGUGUUGGGGGCCUGCAGCCGCUGCAGCCCACUAAAAGCAGUGGCGGGCUCGCUGUCAUUCCGAGCGCAGUAGUUACAUCUCGCUCUGGGCGUGGCAACGGGCACUUGCCGUAAAACACUCUUUCUAAGGUUGACCUCGGAUCAGGUAGGAAUACCCGCUGAACUUAAGC